CCUGGCUCACGACGAACGCUGGCGGCGCGCCUAACACAUGCAAGUCGAACGAGAGAGAGGGAGCUUGCUUCCUCAAUCGAGUGGCGAACGGGUGAGUAACGCGUGAGGAACCUGCCUCAAAGAGGGGGACAACAGUUGGAAACGACUGCUAAUACCGCAUAAGCCCACAGCUCGGCAUCGAGCAGAGGGAAAAGGAGCAAUCCGCUUUGAGAUGGCCUCGCGUCCGAUUAGCUAGUUGGUGAGGUAACGGCCCACCAAGGCAACGAUCGGUAGCCGGACUGAGAGGUUGAACGGCCACAUUGGGACUGAGACACGGCCCAGACUCCUACGGGAGGCAGCAGUGGGGAAUAUUGCACAAUGGGGGAAACCCUGAUGCAGCGACGCCGCGUGGAGGAAGAAGGUCUUCGGAUUGUAAACUCCUGUUGUUGAGGAAGAUAAUGACGGUACUCAACAAGGAAGUGACGGCUAACUACGUGCCAGCAGCCGCGGUAAAACGUAGGUCACAAGCGUUGUCCGGAAUUACUGGGUGUAAAGGGAGCGCAGGCGGGAAGACAAGUUGGAAGUGAAAUCUAUGGGCUCAACCCAUAGACUGCUUUCAAAACUGUUUUUCUUGAGUAGUGCAGAGGUAGGCGGAAUUCCCGGUGUAGCGGUGGAAUGCGUAGAUAUCGGGAGGAACACCAGUGGCGAAGGCGGCCUACUGGGCACCAACUGACGCUGAGGCUCGAAAGUGUGGGUAGCAAACAGGAUUAGAUACCCUGGUAGUCCACACCGUAAACGAUGAUUACUAGGUGUUGAGGGAUGACCCCUUCAGUGCCGCAGUUACACAAUAAGUAAUCCACCUGGGGAGUACGACCGCAAGGUUGAAACUCAAAGGAAUUGACGGGGGCCCGCACAAGCAGUGGAGUAUGUGGUUUAAUUCGACGCAACGCGAAGAACCUUACCAAGUCUUGACAUCCCUUGACGAUGCUGGAAACAGUAUUUCUCUUCGGAGCAAGGAGACAGGUGGUGCAUGGUUGUCGUCAGCUCGUGUCGUGAGAUGUUGGGUUAAGUCCCGCAACGAGCGCAACCCUUACUGUCAGUUACUACGCAAGAGGACUCUGGCAGGACUGCCGUUGACAAAACGGAGGAAGGUGGGGAUGACGUCAAAUCAUCAUGCCCUUUAUGACUUGGGCUACACACGUACUACAAUGGCGUUAAACAAAGAGAAGCAAGACCGCGAGGUGGAGCAAAACUCAGAAACAACGUCCCAGUUCGGACUGCAGGCUGCAACUCGCCUGCACGAAGUCGGAAUUGCUAGUAAUCGUGGAUCAGCAUGCCACGGUGAAUACGUUCCCGGGCCUUGUACACACCGCCC
rnacentral:rRNA from 1 species